ACUGAUAAAAAAAAAAUGUCGUUAGAAUAUAGUAGUACUACAUGGUACAGUACAUUAAUAGAAUAUAAAUUUUAGUGUUUAAAAAACUGAUAUUUUUCGGGGAAAGUUUCAUAAAUAGACAAUUUCAACUGGAAUUUCCUUUAUUAUAGAAAAUUCUACAAAGUCAUUCAGAACAAUUGUAAAAUAUAUUUAUUUAAUUUUAAAAUGGCUUAGUCAUUACAGCUAAUAAGGUGUGUUUAUUUAAUAUUCAUGGUUUGUUAAAAUAUUAGGAUUAAAGAAAAUUAUUCUUUUACAAAAAUAUUUAAGCUUACAAUGCUAAUUUUAAUGUAUUCCAUGUCCUCUUACUUGUCUAGAAUGAUAGUUACAACAUAUAAACAACUUUUAUUGGUAUAAACUAAAACCUUAUAGGGAUUUCUAUAUAAGUUUGAAUUAAUCUCAGCAAUUACAUGAGUCUUAAAGUUUUUUUUUUCCAUACAUUCUUAUGAGGAAAUAAAUGCCAAAAGGAAAGUUAAAGAGUAAGAAAGUAAUUAUUUGUUAAUCAAUUGAAUUAAAUAAAUAAAAAAAUAAAUAAAUAUAAUUGUAGGUGUAGUUUUUCCUUGUAGUAGAGUAUUUUAAAUAAAUACUUCAACUCGCACACAAAUCUUUUUAGGAGUAAUAUUUUAAAUCUAUAUCAAAACAAAUUCCUCUUGUGAUAAAACAUUUUAAUAGAGGAUAUUUAGAAAAUUGGGGUACAUAAUCAAGGAUUUCCUGGCCUAAAUCAAAUCUAUUUAAAAUAUUUCUAUUAGUUAUGUUAAAGUUCUAGCUUAGAUUAACAAGUUUAAAGGGUAACUAGCUUCUCAUGUAUCAGUUUAGUAAUUAAUUGAGGAAGUUAUCCCAUUAUACAAUAUUUAGAGCGUACAUAGUAUAGGAAAUAUUAUGCAAUGGAAAUGAAAUUUCUAGUAUAAAAAUUUAAUAAUAACAAUCAUACAUUACAGGUAAUUAUACCUUUUUCUGAUAAUAAAGAAUAAGUUUAAAAAAAAAAAAGAUAAAAACAGACAUAAGACUACAUUUAGAUAAAUAAAAUUAAGAUAAUGUUGUUAUUUUAUCACACAGUCCAGGAUAAACCAAGUCCAAAGAUUAUUUAAAAAUACAUAAAAAUAUUUAAUAAAAUUUAUUUUAAAUUUAAAUGUCAACUAAAUUAAGCGAUUUUUCCUCUUUUCUAUAUCUUUUGUUCCCUUUCAGAAAUGCAAUUAAUUUAAAAAAAAAAAAAAUUCAGCAGUAAACAAUAAUAAAGGAAAACGAGCAGAGACCAAAGGUGAUUCAUAUGUCAUACUUAAGAAAAAUGCAAUUGUUCCUUAAAAGAUACAAAAGUCACACGCCGUCCUUGUGUCUGCUAAACGCUGCAAAGAGAUUUUUGGAAAAACUCCAGAAACUUAUUUCUAAAAGGAGCAUCACUGAAUCCUUAAGAAGUAAACUAUUUACGUUCGAAAACCCUUCAGUCACGUGUCCAAUCUGGCAAACUUUUAACAGACCUUGAAAGUACUCAGUCGUAUCGAAAACAUA